CCUACGGGGGGCUGCAGUGGGGAAUAUUGGACAAUGGGCGCAAGCCUGAUCCAGCAAUGCCGCGUGUGUGAAGAAGGCCUGCGGGUUGUAAAGCACUUUAAGCCGGAAAGAAGGCUUCAAGGCUCAUAUCCUUGUAGAUUGACGUUACCGGCCGAAUAAGCACCGGCUAACUCCGUGCCAGCAGCCGCGGUAAUACGGAGGGUGCGAGCGUUAAUCGGAAUUACUGGGCCGGAUCCGUGCGUAGGCGGUUAAAGCCCUGGGCUGAACCUGGGAACUGCAGUGGAAACUGGAGGGCUAGAGUAUGGUAGAGGAGGGUGGAAUUUCCGGUGUAGCAGUGAAAUGCGUAGAGAUCGGAAGGAACACCAGUGGCGAAGGCGGCUCUCUGGACCAAUACUGACGCUGAGGUGCGAAAGCGUGGGGAGCAAACAGGAUUAGAUACCCGUGUAGUC
rnacentral:rRNA from 1 species